UUAGUAUGUGGUUGCCCUCUAGUUUCUGACUAAUGGUGACAAAUUGGAAGAGAUUUUGGACAUCUUUGAAUGGUGGUUCAAGUUUCCACACUGUUUUGGUGCAUCCAAGAAUAAUGUUGGUUCAUUUUUUGUCUCUGUCCAGCAACCUACAAGAAGAAAUAUUGUGAGACUUAAGGGACAAAAGAACAGCGUAGAGGAUAAAAAUUCUAGCCUGAAGUUUGGUAGCAAAUUUGAAGCUAUGAAUGGACAACAGUUGGAAUCCAUUUGAGUUUUGAACGAUGGCCGCUCUUCCAGUCAUAUCAUUUUGUCGAUUUUUAAUAAUGCUUAACGAUAAGAACCAUUGGGAGAAGUGUUUACCAAGUCUAAGAGAAGGCUGAGUCCUUAAUUGAAUAGUCUGAGAAAUAUUAGCAGGAAAGGAGUUGAGUAUCGAAUGGUAGAGAUAAAAAAUUCUUUUAAUAGCACCUAUAGGACAGGGACUAGAUCCUUAGAAGAUGAGUUCAUUUCUCAAUUGUCAUAUAAUCCAAAGGGCAUAGACCGUAACAAUGUAGAAGUUUCUUGAAUCCAGAGAGUUGAUACAACUUCUCUAGAGCCAGUAGGAUCCAGCUGGAGAUGAAUAAGUAAGAGAGUUGAAGUGGAGUGCAAGAGGGGAACCAAACUAAACGGCCCUUGCAAAACUACAAUUUAAGGAGGGAUGCAUAGGGGGUUUCCCUAUCUUCAUUGUAGAGAAGAUAGAGAUUAUCAUUAGUAGAGAGUUUUCUCGAUUCUUUAGUGGGGAGGCAAUUAUUUCAAAUCUUCCAUAUAAAAAUAAUGAUUUUGAAAGGAAUUGAUUAACUCAGGCAACUUGCUGAGAUUGAGAGUGUGUUGGGUUUUGAAUCGAGUUAAACAACAAAGAAUUAUUUAAAUAAUAAUGUCGAUUCAAACAACAAAAGAAUGGAGUCAAUCAACAAAACAAUCUGUUCAAAGUGGCUACAAUGCUUUUGCUUCUUAAACAAAGAAAGAAGAGAGCAAAAACGAAAAUGAGCCAAAGAAUGCAGCUUAAGAAAUCUGCAAACUGAUCUGCACUAUCUACUUUGUCUCUCAAUUUUUUAGUCAUAAAAAGAUUACAAUAUAAGUCAUUUGUUUUCACUAAACACACCUAACCCCACUAAUCUGCCUAGUAACAAGUGAAACAUAACUUGUAGACAUGCUGAUUUAUCUAAAUCAGUACCUAAACACCUGAAGUAAUUUACCAACUUAGCUCAUUUACAACUAAAUAACAUAACAAAAGAACUAGUAAUGAAACUAAAAGCUAAGCAGCAUACACACGUGCUGCAUGCAUGUGUGCAAACUAUGACAGUUACAUGCAAACACCAGAAAAAACAACCAGCUGCAUGGAUGGUCAUCUUCAACACUCCUCAUUGGCCUCCAUGUUGCUCACACCAUUCAUCUUCCUUAAAUAUUCAAACCUGACCUUUCCAAAUGGCUUGGUCAGUAUAUCAGCCAGUUUGCAUCUUGGCCAGCUCGCAAGCUUAUACUUUGAUGAGCUCGCACUUUUGCAGCUCGCAUUUCAUUCAACUUGCAGCUUGCACUUUGCACAGUUCGCACAUUUUUCAACUCGCACUUUUGCUGAGUUCAAAACUUGCAUUUUGGUGAGCUCGCACUUCACCCUGUUGCUUGCUACUGCAUGAUUGGCCAACUUGCAACACUCCUUCUUGACCAUUUUACAGCAAGCACCAAUGUUGUUUUCUUGUGCAACUUUUUUAAAAAUUGCAGGCUGCAACACUACUAAGUCACAUCUGUGAUAAGUUUCAACAAUAGGCCUGAUGCCUUUAACAGGAAGGUCAUCAAAGUCUUCAUCUUCAGCUUCAUCUUCAACUUUAGUCAUAUCCUCAAUCAAAUUUGACUUGAACAUCUGACUGAUAUGUGAUUCAUCCACUGAACUGGUAUAGGCCGCCCUCGAUGCCACAAAGUUCCAAUCCAACUCAAAGCUUCUAUUAUUCAUUGAGACUAUCAUAACUUCCUAUCCCAAUGAAUCAAAUACAAUGCAGCAUCUAUCUUUAAGAAUAACAGAGUAUUUCUUCUCAAGCAAUUGACCAAUGCUAAGGAGAUUAUGAUCUAACUCAGGCACUUAAAAUACGUCUGGAUUACUUUAGCACCUAUUGGGGUGCUGAUUAGGACAACACCUUUUCCUUUAGCCUCAAUAAACUAGUCAUUUCCAAUUCUGACUUUUGAAGCAAAACUAGUGUCAAUCUUCCUGAAAAUGCUCUCAUCAGAGGUCAUGUGGUUUGCACAGCCACUGUCAAUUAACCAACUCUUAUUGACUUUGCUGCUUGAAACAAAACAAGAGGCAGUGAACAGAUGCUCCUCCAGAGCUUGGUUUCCAUCAGCAGCCUGAGCGUGAACAUGGUUCUGCUAUUACUGCCCUUUAUUUUUGCACACAUUUUCCAUGUGUCUAAAUUGUUUGCAGCUUCUACAUUGAAUAUUAGAUCUGAACCAGCAAUAACUCUCCAGGUGAUUAGUCUUCUUGUAGCGAGAGCAUGGUGGAUUUUUCUCCUUUCCACUAUCUCUCCAACUCUUCUCUUUCUUCUUUGUCCAGCCUUUCUUUUCUUCAUUGCUUGAGGAGCUUCAGCCUUCUCUGUUUCUGGCCUGAAAGGCUCCUUCAGUGUGCUCCUCUUGCUUACUUGUCCUUCUCUGCUCUUAAGCAUACAAAGCAUUAAUCAACUCUGAAAAGGAGAUUGCUGAUAGGUUCCUCGAGUCUCAAAGAGAGGAAAUUUUUGACUCACACCUCCCAGGAAGUGUGUUUAUGACCUUUUCAACCACCCUUCUAUCACUAAAUUGAUCUCUAAGUAGCUUGAUGCUAUUGACCAUUGCCAUGGUCUUAUCUGCAUAUUGUUUCAUUAUUUCAGCCUCUCUCUUCUUCAAAUUCUCAAAAUCUCUCAUGAGAUUAAUGAGUUGUUGCUGUCUGGUUUUGUCUGACCCUUGAAACUCCUCCUUUAGCUUAUCCCAAGCUUGUUUUGGAGUCUCACAGGCCAUGAUUCUUGUCAAUAUCACAUCAAAAACUCCAUUCUGCAGGCAACACAUUACCUUGUACUUUUUGGCACAAUCAUCACUAUGUUGUCUGAUCUGUGCUAUAGUUGGAUUGGCCCUCAAUGGUGGUGGUUCAAUAUCAGCAUUCAUAACUUCCCACAAGUCAAAAGCUUGAAUGUAAGUCUUCAUUUUAACCACCCAGAUACUAUAUUUUUAACCAUUGAAAACAGGUGGUGGAGGAGGUGAAAAACUAGUUGAAGAUACUUUGACAGAAACAACAAGGAAAAUGACCCUCAAAUAUUAAUGGCUCUUGAUACCACUGUUGGGUUUUGAAUCAAGUUAAACAACAAAGAAUUGAUUCAAACAAUAAUGAAUCGAUUCAAAUAGCAAAAGAAUCAAGUCAAUCAACAAAACAAUAUAUUCAAAGUGGCUACAAUGAUUUUGAUGCUUAAGCAAAGAAAGAAGAGAGCAAAAAACGAAAAUGAGCCAAAGAAUGCAACUUAACAAAAUUUGCAAACUAAUCUGCACUAUCUGUUCCAUCUCUCAAUUUUUCAUUCAUCAAAAGAUUACAAUAUAAGUCAUUUGUUUUCAUCAAACACACGUAACCCCACUAAUCUGCCUCGUAACAAGUGAAACAUAACUUGUAUACAUGUUGAUUUGUCUAAUUUACCAACUUAGUUCAUUUACAACUAAACACCAUAACAAAAGAACUAGUAAUGAAACUAAAAGCUAAGCAGCAUACACACUUGCUGCAUACAUGUGUGCAAACUGUGACAGUUACAUGCAAACACCAAAAAACAAUCAGCUACAUGGAUGAUCAUCUUCAACAAAGAGUGGUAGAGGGGAUCUUUUGGAAAAGGAGGGAAUAAACAUUUUUAACCGUAAAAACCACAUUGUGAUUGGCUUUCCAGACUAUUUUGUCAUCUCCUUCCUAUAUGGAAAGUGUUCUACUAAGGAGAUCUGAAGCUCUGUUGAUAUCAAAAGAUCUAAGGGACUUAUUUUGAUCCCAACUAUUGAGAUGAGGAUAGAGAUAAGUUUGAACUUGAAAGUUGGAAGCAUACAGUUCAACAAUGUCAAUAAGGGGUUGGUUAGAGUUAGUGCAGAUCCAGCCGUUUCUUCCACCCCAAAGUUGAACAUCCUUCCAUCUUUUGCAAAUAUCCCUACCAACAAGAAUGCCUUUCUAGACCCAAAAUUUGGAAGGUUUUGGGUCAACAGAUUCAAAGGGGGUAUGACUGCAAUACUUAGCUCUUAGGACUUUUGAGAGCAUGCAGUUUUGGUCUGUCAUUAUUCACCAGGUGACUUUCGAUAGGAGAGUUCCGUUGAAGAGUUUAGUCUUACUAAUUCCCAAUCCCCCUUGUGAGAUGGGAGCACCGAGUUUAUCUCAUUUACAAUGAUGAAAUUUCGUAGUGUUUGUGUUAUGACCCCAUCAGAAGGCACUAAUUACUUUAUCAAUUUCAUCACAAAUGUUCGUGGGGCCUUUGAAAGCUGAAAGAAAAUAGAGGGGAAGCGAAGUCAGAGUGGAUUUAAUAAGAGUGAGUCUUCCACCCGGCAACAAACAUUUUGUCUUCCAGGGAGCAAGUUUGUUGUUAACUUUGUCUAAUAAGUUAUUAAACAACUCUUUCUUCUUUUGCAAUUUCCCCAGUUCAAACCUCGAAUUCUUGCCAGGAAGGUAAACUCUUUUGGCAUUAAAAAUGGCAAUAAACCAUCUCUUUACAUGUUGCUUACUAGAAAGACUAAGAAAAGCUUAGACUUAGCAAAAUUAAUUUGGAGACCCGAAAGAGAGCAAAAUUUCAUAACCUUGAGAGAUCUGCAUGUCUGCAUAGAAGCAUUAAAAAAGAUGUAGCAAACUAGCAAUCAUUCGCAAAGAGAAAAUGAUUAAUAGAAGGCAAUCUUAAAAAUCUUAAUUCCAUGAAUGGAUCCAUUCACUUCAGCUUUAUGAAGCAUGAGUGAGAGGAUGUUCAUGCACAAAACAAAAAAAAUAAGGGAAAAAGGAUCCCCUUAGCACAAACCUUGAAAAGGGUGAAGUCUUUCAAAAGAGAGCCAUUAAUAAGGACCUAGUAAGAGAUAGUGGAGAUACACUGAUGAAUUAAAUUGAUCCAUUCACGUUCAAAUCCCAUAUGCUUCAUGACAAUAAGAAUGAAAUCCUAAUUGAUCUUGUCAAAGGUUUUUCUCAUAUCAAUUUUAAAAGCAGCGAGACACUCUUUACCUCUCAUUUCUCUCUUGAUGGAGUUGUCCUUUGAAUGGAGUGGAUAAAUUCACUUGGAGAAUAAUACCACAUGAGAUAAGGCGUCUAGGGACAAAAGCAUUUUAUAUUUAAAAUUGAGAUUUU
rnacentral:lncRNA from 1 species